rnacentral:rRNA from 1 species
UGGGGAAUAUUGCACAAUGGGGGAAACCCUGAUGCAGCGACGCCGCGUGAACGAAGAAGGUAUUCGUAUCGUAAAGUUCUGUCCUAUGGGAAGAUAUGACAGUACCAUAGAAGAAAGCUCCGGCUAAAUACGUGCCAGCAGCCGCGGUAAUACGUAUGGAGCGAGCGUUGUCCGGAAUUAUUGGGCGUAAAGGGUACGCAGGCGGUUUAAUAAGUCGAAUGUUAAAGAUCGGGGCUCAACCCCGCAAAGCAUUGGAAACUGAUAAACUUGAGUAGUGGAGAGGAAAGUGGAAUUCCUAGUAUAGUGGUGAAAUACGUAGAUAUUAGGAGGAAUACCAGUAGCGAAGGCGACUUUCUGGACACAAACUGACGCUGAGGUACGAAAGCGUGGGGAGCAAACAGG